UACGUAGGGGGCAAGCGUUGUCCGGAAUCAUUGGGCGUAAAGAGCGUGUAGGCGGCCCGGUAAGUCCGCUGUGAAAGUCCAGGGCUCAACCCUGGGAUGCCGGUGGAUACUGUCGGGCUCGAGUCCGGAAGAGGAGUGUGGAAUUCCGUGGUGUAGCGGUGAAAUGCGCAGAUAUCAGGAGGAACACCAGCGGCGAAGGCGGCGCUCUGGGCCGGAACUGGACGCUGAGGAGCGAAAGCGUGGGUAGCAAACAGGA
rnacentral:rRNA from 1 species